AUAAUCUAUAGAUUAUAUAGAGAAGAUAUAUAGAGAUAUAGAGAAGAUUACCAUGGCCCCUGUGCAAGGAUGACAUGCAAAUUCGUGAAGCGUUCCAUAUUUUU